GGUGGGUGUGGUGUUGUACAUCUGUGAUCCCAGCAUCUCAGAAGCUAAGGCAGGAGGAUUGCAAGAUUAAGGCCGGCCUCAGCAACUUUGUGAGACCCUGUCUUAA
rnacentral:sRNA from 1 species